CAGCCGCCACAAGAUCCAGGGCUUUAUCAUGGAAAGCUCGGAUGAAGAUUGCCCUUGGAGCUGCCUAUGCUCUGGAAUACAUGCACUUGACGUGUUCCCCUCCAGUUGCUCAUGGAAAUAAUAUUUUGCUUGAUGCUCAGCUCAUGCCCUACCUCUGUGACAGCGGAUUAACCAAGUUAAGGCAUUUUGUCAGCACCAUGGGAACGGAUCAAGUUGCACCUUGGAUGCCAUUUGGCCAUUCCUCAUGCAGUUUUCUCCUCAUGCAUAAGUGAUCAUGGCCUCAACUGAUCGAAAUUUCCAUUUUAAGAUUUAUCACUGGAUUAACACAACUUAUGAAAUGCUGGCGUGAUAUUAUUUAGUAUAUGUAUUCAAAAUGUUGCUUACUGUAAUGCUUAAAAUUGAGUUUCUUUAACUCGAUCCAUUGGCCAUCGAUGGUUCAUUUGAUUAUUUUUGAACAAUUCAUCACCGGAACAGAAGGAUUCAGAAGCUAUCACCAGUGCUAAAGGCUAUGCUGCCCCUGAGCUUGCUGAUGCCAGUUGGUGCAUCAGUGCGUGAUGCCCAAAGCUGCUGUGUUGCAACCUGAUUACCGGAGGACUUAGGGUAGAUUCCACUAUUGUCUACAUAAAAAGGAGUGAUCAACAAACUGCAGUCUCUUACUCAUGCAGAAAUUGGUGAGCUCAUCAGGGUCAAAUAAGGAAGUUGUUGUUUUUGCAGGGCCAUAGAAGGAAGCGUGAUUUGUUCGAGGGCCUUGCAGGGGAUUUCGCCCGAGGGUACUACGGUCUUUUCACAGUCACUUAACUGGAACUUAACUGCAGAUGUAACGGGAGGGCCGUGGAAGGGAACGAAAAUAAAAAGGAGGCCACAGAAGGACGUCUCGGUUUUCCAGGGCCAUAGAAGGAAGCGUCAUUUGCUUCAGGGCCUUCCAGGGAAUUUUCCCAAUUUUAAUUGGAGAACCUCUGUAUGCUUGUAUCAUCUGUGCUCGUCUUCGUGCGAAACUUUCAGUGUAUGUUUUGAUCCAUGAUUACAGUGGUUGAAUCAGGAUUUACCCAACAGACUGUCAAGAUUAUACUGUUCUAAGUGCAUAUGAACUGGAUUAAUUCUAAAGAUGAUGGUCAGUGCACUUAAGCCGGUUUAAUUUUGGCUUCAGACUUUAAACCCGAUGGAUUGUAACAACUAUUAUUCUGUCAGCACUUUCUUAAUGAAAAACUGAAAAUCAUACAUUUUCUUUCUUAAGCAGUUUGUGGCAACUACAGGCACAAAUAUGCCGAAGAAUGACAUGAGAAAUGCUAUGGGCAUCACAAAGAUGAAGAAGGAUGGUUGAGGCUCUGUCAGCAUGCUUUGCAGGUGAGCCCUGACUUUGGAUGAAGAAGUGCACUAGGAUUGAAAGCUCUACAUAAUUCUAGGACCUAGGGAUCAGAUGCUCUGCAGUUCUAUGCGCACCGCCCAAGCCAAGAUGCAUCUCAUUCUCACCAGCACGCGCAAGCGCAAGUGCAGGCGCCCUCGCAGGCGCAAGUCAGGUGCCAACGCACCGUCGCGCAUCACCAUCACGUUGCUCACUGAGAUCCUCCUUCGCCUUCGAACCUUGCCUCACUCUCCCGUGCCGCCCUCAUCACCUGCCCGUUGUGGCACCGCCUGGCCACCUCACGUGACUUUCUUGCCAAUUUCGUGCCUGCCACGGCUCGCCACUGCUGCUCGGUUGCUUCUCCCACGACUUCGACUUCAACAAGCGGUUGCCCUUCUUCCGCCGUGCAAGGAGCCUCACUGACGGUGACCUAGCCACCAUUGUCUGCGGCAAGGACUUCUUUCUGACCAGCAUCUUGCAUUGGAAGAUGCCCCAUGGAUGUUUAAGGACUACUGUCGUGUGCCGAUGAGCUCGCCGUGUUCGAUCUUGUCCGGCGGCAACCAGUGUUUUUAAAAUAGUGGGCUAACGCAUUUAGUGGUUGGUGUUUGUCGAGGCUAAGAAAGGCUAUAGCGGGCUAUAGCCUAACUAAACCAUUUAGCGGUUCUGUAAAUACCAUACAUAAA